GACGAACGCUGGCGGCGUGCUUAACACAUGCAAGUCGAACGGAAAGGCCCUGCUUUUGUGGGGUGCUCGAGUGGCGAACGGGUGAGUAACCCGUGAGUAACCUGCCCUUGACUUUGGGAUAACUUCAGGAAACUGGGGCUAAUACCGGAUAGGAGCUCCUGCUGCAUGGUGGGGGUUGGAAAGUUUCGGCGGUUGGGGAUGGACUCGCGGCUUAUCAGCUUGUUGGGGGGGUAGUGGCUUACCAAGGCUUUGGCGGGUAGCCGGCCUGAGAGGGUGACCAGCCACAUUGGGACUAAGAGACGGCGCAGACUCCAACGGGAGGCAGCAGUGGGGAAUAUUGCACAGUGGGCGGAAGCCUGAUGCAGCAACGCCGCGUGCGGGAUGACGGCCUUCGGGUGGUAAACCGCUGUCGCCUGUGACGAAGCGGGAGUGGCGGUAAUGGGUAAAGAAGCACCGGCUAACUACGUG
rnacentral:rRNA from 1 species